rnacentral:rRNA from 1 species
CCCUUAGAUGUUCUGGGCCGCACGCGCGCUACAAUGAUGAAUUCAACGAGUUUAUAACCUUGGUUGAAAAGCCUGGGUAAUCUUUUGAACUUUCGUCGUGAUGGGGCUAGACCCUUGCAAUUAUUGGUCUCCAACGAGGAAUUCCUAGUAAACGCAAGUCAUCAGCUUGCAUUGAUUACGUCCCUGCCCUUUGUACUCACCGCCCGUCGCACCUACCGAUUGAAUGGUCCGGUGAAAUCUUCGGAUUGAGACUUUGAUUUCUUCACGGAAAACGCUGUUUUAAAAAGUUGAUUAAACCUUACCAUUUAGAGGAAGGUGAAGUCGUAACA